AUGUCUUUCUCAAAAUGUAAGAAACAGUGCAACGCCACUUUUGUUUCUUGCUUCUGUAACUCGCUUCUUACCUCACAUAAUUCCUGCCUUAAAAUGUUUAAAAGUAGGAAAAGCCCUUUGUUUGGGGCUCAGACUUUCUGGACAUAUGUCCAGCUGGGCCAGUGAUGACCUUAAUAGACUCUCCUGAACCUUUUUUGGUCUCUCCAGUCUUUGAUUGUCCUGUAACAUUUCUGGGGGCUUAUCCGGGAUUGGAGAUGGCAGAUUUUCUGUCUUCUUUGCCUGUGGGCUAGAGCCCCAGGAUGUGGGAGAUCUGGGGUCCUUGGCACCGCUGGGAGAGUUUCAGCCUGGAAGGAGAAUGGCCCUCCCGCAUUCCAGAGCCUUCCCCUGACAGCACCAAAGGAACCAGUGGAAAGGGUUGCAGGACAGUCACAGGAGCAGUGCACAGACAUCUGAACCAUGUUCUUUGAAGAAAUGCCUCAGGAUGUUGAUCCCACUUGUUUAAAAUUUCCAUUGGAAGCUCUGCUGUUGUCUGCAGCUGAACUGGGAGCAAUAAUUUUGGCAUCCUUGAAGAGAAAAAUUUACUCAACUUUAAUUUUUCAGUCAGAAUCAUGAAAGUUGAAUCAAUUGAGAUGUCUACGGUGUUGGCUACUGUUUCUGCUGUGAAUUGUUGGUCCUUUUUAGUUCAGGCAUGAACAAGAUUACUUUUUCCUCACAAAUUUAUGUGGAUGGUCUGCCAGUGUGGGCUUCAUCUUUUACAUCAUCUAAUACCUUCUUAAAACAAGUUACCCAUUUAUAAGCUGCUAAUUUUGGGACGUCAUUAUUCUAUAAACUUUUCAUAAAGCAUGAAUGAUUUAAUCAUUCUUCCACUCAAGCAUCAUUUUAAAUUUGGUUUUUGUUUUUGCUUCAAAUUUACCAAAGUGCAUGUUGCUCUGAUAGGGGCUGUUUCCAAACUGAUGUUUCAUCCUACUUAGUGCGUCAAAGUAGAUCCUUUUCAUACAUGUUAUAACAAGUUAGUGUAAGUUGAUUUUAGUGCCAAGAAAAUGUAAGUUCCGUGC
ensembl:lncRNA novel transcript